rnacentral:rRNA from 1 species
AAGGCUUGACAUGGGGAAGACUGGACGAGAGAUCGUCCUUCUCUAGCAAUAGAGCUUCCCACACAGGUGCUGCAUGGCUGUCGUCAGCUCGUGUCGUGAGAUGUUGGGUUAAGUCCCGCAACGAGCGCAACCCCCGGUUUCUAGUUGCCAUCAUUCAGUUGGGCCCUCUAGAGAGACUGCCGCGAAUAACGCGGAGGAAGGUGGGGACGACGUCAAGUCAUCAUGG